CGAAGGCAGGUCUCUGGGCAUUAACUGACGCUGAGGAGCGAAAGCAUGGGGAGCGAACAGGAUUAGAUACCCUGGUAGUCCAUGCCGUAAACGUUGGGCACUAGGUGUGGGGGACAUUCCACGUUUUCCGCGCCGUAGCUAACGCAUUAAGUGCCCCGCCUGGGGAAUACGGCCGCAAGGCUAAAACUCAAAGGAAUUGACGGGGGCCCGCACAAGCGGCGGAGCAUGCGGAUUAAUUCGAUGCAACGCGAAGAACCUUACCAAGGCUUGACAUGAACCGGAAAGACCUGGAAACAGGUGCCCCGCUUGCGGUCGGUUUACAGGUGGUGCAUGGUUGUCGUCAGCUCGUGUCGUGAGAUGUUGGGUUAAGUCCCGCAACGAGCGCAACCCUCGUUCUAUGUUGCCAGCACGUGAUGGUGGGGACUCAUAGGAGACUGCCGGGGUCAACUCGGAGGAAGGUGGGGACGACGUCAAAUCAUCAUGCCCCUUAUGUCUUGGGCUUCACGCAUGCUACAAUGGCCGGUACAAAGGGUUGCGAUACUGUGAGGUGGAGCUAAUCCCAAAAAGCCGGUCUCAGCUCGGAUUGGGGUCUGCAACUCGACCCCAUGAAGUCGGAGUCGCUAGUAAUCGCAGAUCAGCAACGCUGCGGUGAAUACGUUCCCGGGCCUU
rnacentral:rRNA from 1 species